rnacentral:lncRNA from 1 species
UGCAGUUUGAUCUCUGACUGCUGUGCUAGCAAUCAGUGAGACUCCCUGGGCAUAGGACCCUCCGAGCCAGGUGGGGGUUAUAAUCUCGUGGUGCGCCGUUUUUUAAGCCCGUCGGAAAAGCGCAGUAUUCCGGUUGGAGUGACCCGAUUUCCAGGUGCUGUCCGUCACCCCUUUCUUUGACUGGGAAAGGGAACUCCCUGACCCCUUGCCCUUCCCAAGUGAGGCAGUGCCUCGCCCUGCUUCGGCUCGCGCACGGUGCACGCACUCACUGACCUGCGCCCACUGUCUGGCACUCCCUAGUGAGAUGAACCCGGUACCUCAGAUGGAAAUGCAGAAAUCACCCGUCUUCUGCGUCGCUCAAGCUGGGAGCUGUAGACCGGAGCUGUUCCUACUCGGCCAUCUUGGCUCCUCCCCGCCAAGCCUGUCAGUCAGAAUUCCAUUGCAUGCCUGUUCUUGAACAACCAUGGUCAAGGAGACAAGAUUCCUGAUGACUGACUCACACUAAUCAAAACUCAGCCACUGGUCCUAGCAAACUUCAUGAGAUGAGAGUGGAGAGUGUCCCAUCUCAUCUUAAGCAUAUGACUGUCCCAUACCCAUACAAAAUCAGGUUCUUUGCACAAAGAACAAUAGAGGUGAAUGACCAAUGAGUAAUCAAAGAGAGAGUUUUUCAGAAUAUGACUGCAUUUGGAAAUAGGGACUUUAAAGAGGUGAUUAAGUUACAAUGAGGCCACUAGAGAAGACAAUUAUCCAUUUGGACUGAUGUGCUUAGAAGAAGAGCAUAUUGGUAAAAAGAGACACCAGAGGUACAACAGCACAGAGAAAGACCAUGUGAGGACAUAGUGAGAAGAUGGCCAUCCCAUCUGCAAGCCAAGGACAGAGGCCUCAGGAGAAACCAACCCUGAUGACACCUUGAUCUUGGACUUCACAGCCUCCAGAACUAACAUACUCAAGUGUCUCAGCUCAACAUUUGGAGAUGAGCCAUCCUCCUCUUAUUGUAAGAAAAGCUUGAAGGAGUAUUUUCACAGCGAUGGAACUGGAAGUUAAGGCAACUUCUAUCAGCAUCAAGAAAAGAAAAGAAGUAUUCACCACUUACGAAACAACAUCUCUCUUCUCAUCAAUAGUUUGAUUUACAGCAUCUACUGCAGAAGACCUCAAUAAUGCAUAAGAACAUCUGGAAGUACGGUAAUUUCAGCUAUCAGAGAUAAGAAUUGACACAGAACAGAAAAAUAAAUGUCCUGUCAAGGCAUUCCUUCAAUGACAUCUUGUCACACAAGUCUAUAUCCAAGGCUGCCCACAAAGUGGAAAAAUGGGGAAAAUAGAGAAUUCAGCUCACUAUGAUUUCUGCAAUAUACAAUUAUGGGAAAUCAUGUUUGGAUUGACACUGCAGACAGAAAUGGCAUGCAUGAUUCCUGUUUGGACAGGAAUAGCUGUUGGGGAGGAAGCCAACCUUGAAUGACACUGAAGAGCAACAUAAUGAAGCAUGAAUUGACAGGCAUCCUUCACGUUGCUUCUGGCUUCCCGUGUAAAAAGCCAUAUCUGAGCGCAGCUCUUAUGGGGCCAGAUCCAGGGGAGGAGAAAGGAAGUGAGGCCCAGAAAAAAUACAUUGUCAUGGAGGAGUGAAACUGAAGACAAAACAAAAAGGACUUUCCACAACUAGGCCCCUGGCUUACACUGCAAUGGAAGAAGAGGAGCAGAAAUACUGCCAAAGAUCCUUAUGAUGGCAUUGCAUUUUAGACUGCUUUUCAACUGAUUAUGACAGUAUCAACAAAAGAAACUUUCAUUUGAGGGACAUGGAUGGAGCUGGAGGCCAUUAUCCUUAGCAAGGUAACACAAGAACAGAAAACGAAAUACUGCAUGUUCUCACUUAUAAAUGGGAACUAAAUGAUGAGAAUAUAUGGACACAUAGAGGGGAACAACACACACUGAAGCCUUUUAGAGGGUGAAUGGUGGGAAGAGGGAGAGGAUCAGAAAAAAUAACCAAUGGGUACUAGGCUUAAAACUGGGUGAUGGAGGCAGGGCGUGGUGGCUCACGCCUGUAAUCCCAACACUUUGGGAGGCUGAGGCGGGCAGAUCACCAGGUCAGGAGAUGGAGAUCAUCCUGGUGAACACGGUGAAACCCCAUCUCUACUAAAAAUACAAAAAAAUUAGCUGGGCGUGGCGGCCGGCGCCUGUAAUCCCAGCUACUCGGAAGGCUGAGGCAGGAGAAUGGCGAGAACCCGGGAGGCGGAGCUUGCAGUGAGCUGAGAUCGCGCCACUGCACUCCAGACUGGGCGAUAGAGCAAGACUCCCUAUCAAAAACAAAACAAAACAAAACAAAACAAAACAAAACAAAACUGGAUGAUGAAAUAAUCUGCACAGCAAACUCCCACAACACACGUUUACCUAUAUAACAACUUGCAGUUGUACCCCUGAACUUAAAAGAAUAAUCGGCCAGGCGCAGUGGGUCACGCCUGUAAUCCCAGCACUUUGGGAGGCUGAUGUGGGUGGAUCACCUGAAGUAAGGAGUUCGAGACCAGCCUGGCCAACAUGACGAAACCCCGUCUCUACUAAAAAUAACAAAAAUUAUCUGGGCAUGUUGGCACACGUGCCUGUAAUCCCAGCUACUGGGGGACUGAGGCAGGAGGAUCACUUGAACCUGGGAGGAGGAGGUUGCAGCGAGCCGAGAUCGCACCACUGCACUCCAGCCGGUGCAACAGAGUGAGACUUCAUCUCAAAUAAAUAAAUAAAUAAAAGAUUAAUAAACAAAAACAAAAAAACACAAAAAAUUCUAUACCUCAAUUUAUAAAAUUCUAUAACUGUCUAUUAACUACUAAUAAAAAUGUGUGAUAAAGGC